UACGUAGGGCGCGAGCGUUGUCCGGAUUUAUUGGGCGUAAAGAGCUCGUAGGCGGUUUGUCGCGUCGGCCGUGAAAACCUGUGGCUCAACUGCAGGCUUGCGGUCGAUACGGGCAGGCUGGAGUUCGGUAGGGGAGACUGGAAUUCCUGGUGUAGCGGUGAAAUGCGCAGAUAUCAGGAGGAACACCGGUGGCGAAGGCGGGUCUCUGGGCCGAUACUGACGCUGAGGAGCGAAAGCGUGGGGAGCGAACAGG
rnacentral:rRNA from 1 species